rnacentral:tRNA from 1 species
GCCGGUGUGAUGGAAUGGCAGACGUGACGGACUCAAAAUCCGUUGAGCUAAUAACUCGUGUGGGUUCAAGUCCCACCGCCGGCA